ACGCUGGCAGCGUGGAUUAGGCAUGCAAGUCGAACGAUAACCAGUAGCUUCAAGUUUUCGGACGAGAAGUUGUUGGGGACAGUGGCGGAAGGGUGAGUAACGCGUGGGUAACCUACCCCUGAGUUGGGGACAACCCUUGGAAACGGGGGCUAAUACCGAAUACGGUUUCUUCUCAUAAGGGUAGAGGAUUAAAGGUGGGGAUUCUUCGGAACCUGCCGCUUAGGGAGGGGCCCGCGUGCCAUCAGCUUGUUGGUAGGGCAACGGCCUACCAAGGCUUACGGCUAGCUGGUCUGAGAGGAUGGUCAGCCACACUGGGACUGAGACACUGCCCAGACUCCUACGGGAGGCUGCAGUCGAGGAUCAUUCGCAAUGCGCGAAAGCGUGACGAUGCGACGCUGCGUGGAGGAUGAAGGCCUUCGGGUUGUAAACUCCUGUCAUGAGGGAAAAGACGGUGGGGGAAGAAUACUCCUUCGCCCCGAUGGUACCUCAAUAGGAAGCCACGGCUAACUCUGUGCCAGCAGCCGCGGUAAUACAGAGGUGGCGAGCGUUGUUCGGAUUUACUGGGCGUAAAGGGUGCGUAGGUGGCUUCGUAUGUCGGAUGUGAAAGCCCACGGCUCAACCGUGGAACUGCAUUCGAAACUGCGGAGCUAGAGUGCAGGAGGGGAGAGCGGAAUUCUUGGUGUAGCGGUGAAAUGCGUUGAUAUCAAGAAGAACACCGGUGGCGAAGGCGGCUCUCUGGAAUGUUACUGACACUGAGGCACGAAAGCUAGGGUAGCAAACAGGAUUAGAUACCCUGGUAGUCCUAGCUGUAAACGGUGCGCACUUGGUGUUGGCGGUAUUGACCCCGCCAGUGCCGGAGCUAACGCGUUAAGUGCGCCGCCUGGGGAGUACGGCCGCAAGGCUAAAACUCAAAGUAUUGACGGGGGCCCGCACAAGCGGAGGAGCAUGUGGCUUAAUUCGAUGCAACGCGAAGAACCUUACCAGGGCUUGACAUGUAGCUGCACGCCCCGGGAAACCGGGGAGGCCUUCGAGGGUGCUACACAGGUGCUGCAUGGCUGUCGUCAGUUCGUGCCGUGAGGUGUUGGGUUAAGUCCCGCAACGAACGCAACCCUUGUGUUUAGUUGCUACCGGAGGUGAUGAGCCUCCGAGCACUCUAGACAGACUGCCUGUACAAGCAGGAGGAAGGUGGGGACGACGUCAAGUCAGUAUGGCCCUUACGCCCUGGGCUGCACACGUGCUACAAUGGCCGGUACAGAGGGCAGCAAGACCGCGAGGUGGAGCUAAUCCCCAAAACCGGCCCCAGUUCGGAUUGGAGUCUGCAACUCGACUCCAUGAAGUCGGAUUCGCUAGUAACGGCGCAUCAGCUACGGCGCCGUGAAUACGUUCCCGGGCCUUGUACACACCGCCCGUCACAUCAUGAAAGCCGUCUGCACCCGAAGUCGCUUAACUAACCCGCAAGGGGAGAGGGCGCCGAA
rnacentral:rRNA from 1 species